AUAGGAUUCAAAUGCUACAGAGGCCCAGUUUAAGAAAGCUUGGUAGACAUAAUUAGCAGAGCAUUACUUGGACUUCCUAUACAAGAUGCAGAGUACAAGAAAGAAGCAAAGGUGUGUUUCCUACAAGGUAUGGACUAGCUUGCAACAGGCUUGGUCCGAUCCUCAAUAUGUGAGUAAAUGAGAGAUUAUGUCCCGUAAUAGGCUCAGCGAGAUGGAAGGUGAGGGAGAUGGUCUGUCUCAACACACUGUUUCAUUCCAAUAAUUGAGAUUGUUAAGAAAUUGGCAGAGAAGUAUAGAUGUCAGCCUACCCCCAUGGAGGUCUUCACAUAUACACAUGCGAAGGACUAUAAAGGGGUCACAUUCAUUGAUUGGCGUGCAGAGCUUGUUAGAAUAAUUAUACUACUGGGAAAGUGCAAGCGACUGCAUCUCAAGCUCAAACUGGUGAGUAACCUACGAUCGAUGAGUUCCUACUUUAUCUCGAGACUGCAGGAGGAGAGAAGAAACGAAAAGUGUACAACAUUGGUUCGCAGCCCUUAGUUUUCUAUAGUCACACCCAUGGGAAUUCUGCAAGUAGAGCCAUGCCAGCUGAGCCGGAGGCACAUAUUGAGGAGAUCUAGGAUUUACAAGCUCAGCUUCAAGCGCAGCAGCAGCAAAUAUCGUAGCUUAUACCAACAGUAGCUGAUGGAUAUGUAUGCUCGAGACCGACCUAGUGCACCGCUAGCUCCUUUUGUACUGAUAGAUCACUUUGAUCCGCCAGCUUCUUCCACCCUACCUGACUUUUCUGCUUUUCAAACUCCUAUAGAUCUUCAUGAUACGCCACAUUAGCCUUCUUUUUUAUGAUUAUGUUUAUUUUUUGCACAAAUUACU